GUACUCAUGUCAGCAGCACACAUACUAUAACUGGCACAAUACAGAGGUCAGCAUGCACAGAUGACACACAAAUUCAUGAAGUGUUCUACAUAUAU
rnacentral:snRNA from 1 species